GUAGGUGGCAAGCGUUGUCCGGAAUUAUUGGGCGUAAAGCGCGCGCAGGCGGUUCUUUAAGUCUGAUGUGAAAGCCCACGGCUCAACCGUGGAGGGUCAUUGGAAACUGGAGAACUUGAGUACAGAAGAGGAAAGCGGAAUUCCACGUGUAGCGGUGAAAUGCGUAGAGAUGUGGAGGAACACCAGUGGCGAAGGCGGCUUUCUGGUCUGUAACUGACGCUGUGGCGCGAAAGCGUGGGGAGCAAACAGGGAUUAGAUACCCUGGUAGUCCACGCCGUAAACGAUGAGUGCUAAGUGUUAGGGGGGUUUCCGCCCCCUUAGUGCUGCAGCUAACGCAUUAAGCACUCCGCCUGGGGAUACGGCCGCAAGGCUG
rnacentral:rRNA from 1 species